CUUUCUCUCAAAAUAUAAAUAGAAAUAAACUGAAAUUUUUUUCUCACUAUUUUGGAGUCUGGGAAGUCUAAAAUCAAGAAGCCAGCAGAUUUUAUGUCUGAUAAGAGCCUGCUUUGUGGUUCAUAGAUGGCUGUUUUCUCACUGUGUCCUUUCAAUGUAGGAGGAGGCUGAAGAGCAAUCUGGGGUCUCUCUUAUGAGGAUGCUAAUCCCAUUCAGGAGGACUCCAUCUUCAUGACCUAAUCACCUCCCCCAAACCCUACCUCCUAAUACCAUCCAUUAGGGGAGAGGAUUUUAAUACAUAAAUGCAGUGGCUGCGGGGGUGGGGGGCUUGAGUGUAUAGCACUAUGGUGUAAGAACUAUUCUUUAUUGUGCUCACCCCUUCAGGUUUUGAUGCUUACUUCUUAUGGCUAUUGGUCCUUUUGAGCAGCCAUCAUUAUUUUAAUUAAUAUGAAUGAGAAGCAUUGGGGAAGCUGGUGGGGAAGGAGGAUGACUGUAAUUUAAUAGGAUGAUCAGAGUGGCCUUAAAGGUAGGACUGAGGCCUUCCAGCAAUAACAUAGUUGGUAUAUUCAAUAAUCACUGAAGGAUCUAGGGAUGGUCUUUGCGAUGUUUGAUUUUCUCUUUGCUCUUAGGAAAAUAAAAAUACUGAAUGGACAUAUCUUUGUUUACAUUUUUUUACAUAAUUAUUUCUUUUUAGGAAAAGAUGAAUCUGUAGAAGUGAAAUUCCAGAGUUUAAAGAUCUGCUCUUUGGGCAUGGUUUGGGGGGAGAGCUGAUCUCUUCUUCACUGAAUGUCAGCUGGGAAGUCUUAGCAGAGGCUAGAGGAUCUGGUUCACUCACCUGGCUGGCAUGUUGGUGCUUGCUCCUGACUGGGAUCUUAGUUGGGCCCAAGGGCCAAGGAGUUCAGUUUGUCUCCAUAUGGUCUGGGCUUUCUCCUAGCAUGGUGACUUGGUUCUCAGGGAGCCAAAGAACAGCAAAUUAAAUUCAAAUAAUGUACAAAGAAGAAAGCAAAGCAGAUAAGAGCAAGAAUUAAUGAUACAGAAAGCAACCUACAGCAGAGGGAGUGAAGAAAAUCAAUGGUGUCUUCUUGGAAGGAAAAAAAAAUUGACAAACUCCUGCAAAAAUUGAUAAGAAAUAAUGAGAGAAGGUAAACCCUCAAUAUCAGGUAUAAAAAGGAGCAUCCGUAUAGAUUGUCCAGGCAUUAAAAACUUGUAACAGCAUUAUUAAAAUAACUUUUUAAAUCCAAAUACAAUAAACACAUCCCUAGGAAAUACUAUUUGUAAAAAGUGACACAAGAAGAAAAAGAUACUUUAAUAGUUUAUAUAAACUAUAUAAAAUUCUAAAAUAGAAACUCUAAUUUGAAAACAUUCCUACAAAGAAAUUUCUAUUUCCACGUAGUUUUAUUAGUGACUUUUUCCAAAUAUGUAAGGAAGGCAUACUACUCAAAUGUGUAUAAACUCUAAUAAAAUGAAAGAGAACCCACUUAUGAACUUAUUUUAUAAAGUCUGAAUAACCUUGUAUAACAGCAUGAAAAUAUUAGAAUGAAGAAGACAAAAACGUCUCUCUCACAUAGAAAUAUCUAAAAUCCUAAACAAAAGCAGAUAAUUAGUGCAA